rnacentral:rRNA from 1 species
CCAGCCCGCUCAGAAACUCAAAGGAAUUGACGGGGGCCCGCACAAGCGGAGGAGCAUGUGGUUUAAUUCGAUGAUACGCGAGGAACCUUACCUGGGCUCAAAUGUAUGUUGACGUAUUCUGAAAGGGAUACUUCUUCGGACAAUAUACAAGGUGCUGCAUGGUUGUCGUCAGCUCGUGCCGUGAGGUGUCGGGUUAAGUCCCAUAACGAGCGCAACCCCUAUCAUUAGUUGCCAUCAGGUCAAGCUGGGGACUCUAAUGAAACUGCCUACGCAAGUAGUGAGGAAGGUGGGGAUGACGUCAAAUCAGCACGGCCCUUACGUCCAGGGCUACACACGUGCUACAAUGGCCGGUACAAAGGGCAGCUACCUGGUGACAGGAUGCUAAUCUCAAAAGCCGGUCUCAGUUCGGAUUGAAGUCUGCAACUCGACUUCAUGAAGCUGGAAUCGCUAGUAAUCGUGGAUCAGCCAAGCCGCGGUGAAUACGUUCCCGGGCCUU